CCUCCGCCUCUGCACAGAUAGAGAGAGAAAGAGGUUUAGAGAGAGAAGCAUAAAGAGAGGGAGGCGAUCAGAGAUGAGAUACUAAAGGAGGCCGCCCAUGGCCUAUCGGAACUGAAUCAACGUCCUCACAGGAAGCUUUUCAUGAUUUCAUCUUGGAUUUCAAAAGAUUUAGGAGAAAAUACGUUUUAGAGAGACGGUGACGGAAUUUAAGACAUCGCCGGAGUGGCAGUGACGAUUUCAACACCUGGGUUAAGGAAGGUGGAGAUAUAUCGACGUCUCCACCAGGAGGUAGCGGGUGGCGGUAGCACUGCGGCAUCCACAUUUCUGUUGUGGUGGCGGGCUGGUGGCAAUUUAAUGGUUAUGGACCGGUGGUGUUGCGUUGGGCUGGUGAUGUAGAUAGAGUGGGGUGAGAGGUAUUUCACAGACAAAGACAUAAUGUUUGGAAGCUUUUGCCGGAUUUCAAAUGUUUUUAUGAAUUAGAAUUAAUAAUAGUCUGGAAUCCAGCAUUAUCCCAAAAAAAGGCCAAAGAUGUUGUAAUUAUCAAAUAAAAAAUAUGACAUAUUAUUAGGUAUUUGUAAUAUACCAGCACUUUUAAAGAGUUUAGAAAAAUUGACAUCCAACUACACUUGCAAAUCGGAACGAAAAAUAUAACUAAAAUUAUUUAUAAAAUAAAGUAAGUAAAGAAAGACAAAAUGAAAACAAAUGUAGUGUCUAAAAUUAAAAUAGAGCAUGGCAUAACCGCAAUUAAAGUCCAACUUAAAAACUAAACUAAGAUAUCAAAAUCAAUGUGUGGCUGAACAAGUCAUGUAACGGGUCAAAAUAGGUAUUUCAUUGAUUUGGCGCAAAACAUUACGACUUCACCCUAAACGUUAUUUGUUCGCAUAUGUGUUAAAAGGUAUUAGAGAUAAAAGGAAAUAGUUUCUAUGGAUUAUAAAUUGGGCAAACUUAGCUACAAUUGAUUGGUCAUUGUGGUGUGAUUUUAGUUCAAUUAAUUUUUUAGUGCCGUGAUAUGUUUGUGGUUGUAAUAUGUUUGUUGUAGCCCACUAGCCCUAAACUUUUAGUCGACUCCCCAUGAGAACGUCAAAAUGAAGGAUAUUAGAGACUUGACAACUUGAUAUGGGUUACCAAAAGUAAUAAUAGAGAUUGGGGUAUUUUUUAACACAAUCCUUCGUUAAUAUAAGAUAUAUACUACGACUUUAGAGAUGGUAAUAUUGGAUUAAUUAGUUUUACGUUGGGGUUAGACCGAUAGAGAGAAUUGCAAUUUUACUUUCUCUAUCUUGAAUUUUGUUUUGACUUUUAGGUCCAACAUGCUACAUUUAGACAAUUUGUUAAGAAAGAUUUACACUUUAGUGUUUCCAAACAGUAGUCGUAAAUUUAGUUUGACUUUAGUGUCAAACUUACUAAAUUUAGACAACUCCUUAUAAAAAAUUACACUUAAAACUUUAAUGAUAUUAAUCUUGAAUUCAUUUUGACUUUUUAUUGUAGUCAAACCUUCCACAUUUAGUGCAUUCCUUGGGAAAAGAUUGGUACCAACUUCAGGACAGUAGUCAUAAAUUGGGUUUCACGUUUUUGGGUCAAACCUGCUAUGCAUUACACAUUAGUUAUGGUCAGAUUUGCUUACUAUUUCCAUAAUUCACCAUAUGUUGACAAUGAUCAUAACCUAGCAGUACAGAUCUUAGGUUGUGAUUUUGCGUUUUGUCAGGUUUUGAGACCGGAUAUGAUAUGAGAUGAUCGUCGAGUGUUGCUGUUAGCCUUGAGUUGCCUAGCCUAACUGGCACAGUGGCAUCUUUUCGUGUACAUGAUACAUGUUCUUAGGGAAAUGUUAGGUAACGGGUCAGAACAGGUCGAGUUGGCCGUAAAUUUGUGAAUUUGUUUACAUUAGAAGUGUUCAAUACAUACGUGAAUAUUCUGUUUUGCCGCCGCAAAGCGCGGCAUGGCAAAAUCCUAGUAUUAACUAAAAAACAAAGAAGACUGAUAAAAAUUUGUUGCUUUG
rnacentral:lncRNA from 1 species